rnacentral:rRNA from 1 species
GGCUUCGCAUUGCGGGCUGCCUCGGGCGCCUGCCUCACACCCGUGAAUACCUAACACUGUUGCUUCGGCGGGGAGCUCCCUCGGGGGCGAGCCGUCCGGGACUACUGAACUUCAUGCCUGAUAGUGAUGCAGUCUGAGUCUGAAUAUAAAAUCAGUCAAAACUUUCAACAAUGGAUCUCUUGGUUCCGGCAUCGAUGAAGAACGCAGCGAACUGCGAUAAGUAAUGUGAAUUGCAGAAUUCAGUGAAUCAUCGAGUCUUUGAACGCACAUUGCGCCCCCUGGCAUUCCGGGGGGCAUGCCUGUCCGAGCGUCAUUGCUGCCCAUCAAGCCCGGUUUGUGUGUUGGGUCGUCGUCCCCCCCGGGGGACGGGCCCGAAAGGCAGCGGCGGCACCGUGUCCGGUCCUCGAAAGUAUGGGGCUUUAUCACCCGCUCGACUAGGGCCGGCCGGGCACCAGCCUAUGUCUCCAACCAUUCUUCUUCAGGUUGACCUCGGAUCAGGUAGGGAUACCCGCUGAACUUAAGCAUAUCAAUAAGCGGAGGAAU